AAUGAGUCAUGUAACAUCUGUGUACCUUCUUAAAAAUGGUUGCAAGUUUACUUGUUAUUGCACUGCAGAUAAGAUGAAUAGCUUUGAUCAUGUCCCUUAAGACAAUAGUGUCAGAGAGCUGAAUAGCACCUAUGUUACCUUUUUCUUCUUCUACACCGGCAGGCUACAAGCUAAAUCGAGGAGAAGUGUGCAGAGCAGCGUUGCCUUCGCCCAUGACCCAGAGGUGAAUUGCUAAUGAUCUACUAGAGCUCUGCAGAAGAAAAGCCCUUGAAAAUGAAACAGGUAAUGUGAUUUUGGCUAAAAAAAAAACUUCAUAAUCACUUUAAAGACCACUGAUAACAUUUUAAGUAGUAAAAAAGCACAAUUGGAGUGGGUUUCUAAGUGUAUCUAACUGGAGUGUGCAAACAAGGAAUUAUUAAUAGUUCACAUAAAUGAUAAACCUGAAUUGUAUCUACACACCUUAUGAUUGACUGGGAAUCAGUUCAGAGGUCAGAAGUUCAUCUAUCAGACUCUACUGUCAAGAUAAUUGACACCUUAGUGAGGCAGCUAGGCCACUACUGUUGGCCCACUAGUGGCAUAUACCAGCCAUGACAUGCUGCUAAAUGCUGGCACAUGUAGCAGCACAUAGUGUAGUGUACUAUCAGCCACUUUCAGUCCAAGUACUGCUGGGAUGUCACAGGAAAAACCUUUGAUGAACAGCCUUGUAUGUAAUAUCAUGCAGAAUAAUACAUGAAUGAGUGCUUUUAAGUGCAUUAAAGGGCAUGUGUUCUUCUUGUAUGCACCCUAAUGAGAGGCUUUUUAGCUUAUAGAUAUGAUGUUUAUUUAAAUACUCAAGGUGUUAUCAUGCUUUCUGUUCUAUUCAUAAUUAUGCAGUGGCAACUACUCCGUGUAUUUAGAAUCAGCAGUGUAAAACAUGCAGACCACCUGUGCUGUAAAUGUCGACUGCACAAGUGCUGAUGAGCUAAAUAUAAAAUAAUCACAUCCUAAUAAGAAUCAAACAGAUGUCAGCGUUAUGAAACAUAAUGUGGGGAAUUAUUUUCAAGGAGCGAUGCUGAGAGGUUGUUUAUCCCGGUCUUUUCUUUCCUUCCUGUCCCUCCGUUUGGCUUAUUUACCUGUUUUAGCUGCCAUAAGGCGAGUGGAUUAGUAGCAGCCCCAGGGGAAGUUGUUCACUUUACCGAGGACUUGAGGGGGACCGGGCUGAUGUUAUCAUUCCCUCUGAAGUCGGUGCUAUCUCUUUGAACACACUUUAUCUUCACAUCUCUGUACUCGCCUGCAAAUGGAGCAACACACAGGGGCUGCUUUGAAAUGAAUUAGCUGUAGGAAGGUGCCCCAG